UUGCGGCUCUAUACAUGCAGUCGAGCGAAUGGAUUAGAGAGCUUGCUCUUAUGAAGUUAGCGGCGGACGGGUGAGUAACACGUGGGUAACCUGCCCAUAAGACUGGGAUAACUCCGGGAAACCGGGGCUAAUACCGGAUAACAUUUUGAACCGCAUGGUUCGAAAUUGAAAGGCGGCUUCGGCUGUCACUUAUGGAUGGACCCGCGUCGCAUUAGCUAGUUGGUGAGGUAACGGCUCACCAAGGCAACGAUGCGUAGCCGACCUGAGAGGGUGAUCGGCCACACUGGGACUGAGACACGGCCCAGACUCCUACGGGAGGCAGCAGUAGGGAAUCUUCCGCAAUGGACGAAAGUCUGACGGAGCAACGCCGCGUGAGUGAUGAAGGCUUUCGGGUCGUAAAACUCUGUUGUUAGGGAAGAACAAGUGCUAGUUGAAUAAGCUGGCACCUUGACGGUACCUAACCAGAAAGCCACGGCUAACUACGUGCCAGCAGCCGCGGUAAUACGUAGGUGGCAAGCGUUAUCCGGAAUUAUUGGGCGUAAAGCGCGCGCAGGUGGUUUCUUAAGUCUGAUGUGAAAGCCCACGGCUCAACCGUGGAGGGUCAUUGGAAACUGGGAGACUUGAGUGCAGAAGAGGAAAGUGGAAUUCCAUGUGUAGCGGUGAAAUGCGUAGAGAUAUGGAGGAACACCAGUGGCGAAGGCGACUUUCUGGUCUGUAACUGACACUGAGGCGCGAAAGCGUGGGGAGCAAACAGGAUUAG
rnacentral:rRNA from 1 species